rnacentral:lncRNA from 1 species
AAGGUCCGUGCGGAUUCUGAUUCGGAUUCGGAUUUCGAUUCUGAUCUGUGAUCUGUUCUGUUACUCUGUUACUUGAUCUGUUUGUUACUACUGAUUCUGUUACUGUGAUUGUGAUUCUGUUACUAUAUCAUUUGAUUCGAUUCUUUUGUUACUCAUACCAAUAGGUACGUUCAUCUUCAUCUUUUAACAAAAGGAGAAGAUCGAUCGGUUACUAUUCGGUUUUUUUGAUUUAUGAAUCUGUUUUGAUUGUUGAAUGUUGAUUUGUCAUGGAUCUGAAUUUUUGUUGUUUUUGUUUUGUUUAGGUGAUUAACGAUCGUGAAACUGGACGAUCAAGAGGUUUUGGUUUUGUGACAUUCGCUGAGGAGAAAUCGAUGAGAGAUGCAAUUGAGGAGAUGAACGGUCAGGAUAUUGACGGCAGGAAUAUUACUGUGAAUGAAGCUCAGUCCCGUGGUAGUGGUGGAGGAGGUAGAGGUGGUGGCGGCGGUGGUUAUGGUGGCGGCGGUGGUUAUGGAGGAGGCGGUGGUGGAUAUGGAGGAGGCGGUGGUCGUCGUGAUGGUGGAUACAGCAGAAGCGGUGGUGGUGGAGGCUAUGGGGGAGGAGGCGAUCGUGGAUAUGGUGGUGGAGGUGGUGGUGGUUAUGGUGGAGGUAGGGACCGUGGAUAUGGAGGUGGAGGUGGUGACCGUGGUUAUGGUGGUGGAGGUGGCGGUGAUCGCUACUCUCGUGGUGGUGGUGCUGAUAGCGGUGGAAACUGGAGGGAUUAGAAAAUUAGGUCUUCAGUUUGGUGGUUUAUGAUUAUGAAUGUUGUCAUGUUGAAUUAGUUUGAUUUAGUUGGUUGAAUUUAGUGUUUUGGCUAUGAUAUUUGUUCUGUUAUGGUUUAGUUUUGCUUUGUCGUGUUUUUGGUCCUGAAUCUGGUUUUGUAUAAACGAUUGAUUGAAAAGGAUAAUGAAAAAUUGGAUUCAACAAAUUCUUGGUUCUCUGUUUAUGGUUUUACUCUUAAUUUUGCGUGGAAUUUUAAUUCCAUGUGAUACGCAAGGGUAUUAUUUUUUGUCGGCAACAAAAACAGAAUUAAUACAAAAAUGUUUUAUAAUAAGUCUAAUGUUAUAACCACCAAAGGCCGGCUUUCUUUUAAAAAAGUGUGUUUGAUAUGGUGGUGGGAAGAAUUGAUUUUGAUAGUUACUUUUGAUUAGAAGUGAUUUAGAUAUGAAUUGAUUUAUGUUUGAAUCCAUUUCUUUAAAAGUAAUUCUUAUGAAUUAAUUUUGUUUGUAUAUUUUGAAUCAUAAUUGUUUUUAAAUUAUCAAAAUAGGUCCCAAUUUAAAUUACAUUACUUUUAUAUUUAACUUUGUUUAUUUUCCUUCAUAAUUUAUCAAGAAAUACGUAAAAAAAAUUAUAUGUUUAUAAAUUGUUUUAUUUACAUUAGUUUCAUUAAAUUAUUUUAACUUUUUUUAACAAUAAAAGAAAAAAUCCUAUGAUAAAUUUAAUGGGCCAGUGAGUUAAACCUAACAAAAAGCUCAUGUAUCACCUUCUUCAACCUAUUGUCACAACAACAAUAAAGCAGGCUGCAGAUCUUAAAAUAUGAAAACAAAUUACAAAGAAAGCAAGGGUAAAAUAGGAUGAUAAACAUGUCACACAUCAUCUUUAAAGGCUGAAACCACGUUUUUCCUCUGUAGAAGUUACGAAUUUGAGCUUCAGCAAAACCAUGUUUGAGACAAAAACCACGUUUCAUUCAUCCGAACAACAUGUUUAAGGAUAAAACGACGUUUGAAAAAUAGUAAAACACAUUUGGAGCCUCAAAAUGUGUUGCCAAACACAUACAAAAGAGGCCAGAUUUUUUAGCAGUAUAUGGUUAGAUUUCUUAAUUUUUUUUUGUGGUAAUAAUGUUUUAAUAUAUACGAUCAUAUGAGCUUCUUUUUUUUUGUUUUUUUUUAGAAAGUACGAUGAUGAGAUGCCAAAGGAUAAUGAUAAAUAUUUUUUUUGAUGUGAUAAUGAUAAAUCUUGAGAAAAAAGAAUGAUAAUGAUGAAAAUGACAACGUUUUUGUAAAGAAAAUGACAACAUUUUAUAUUCAAAUUAAUUGGUUGGUAGAAUACAAAAAAUUUAAAAUUUAUAAAAAAAUAACGUAAGCUAUUAAACAAACAUCACACGAAAUAGAUUAAUGCUAAAAAAAAUAGUUGUAAUAGUCUAUUGUAGCAUAUAUUUUUUUUUAAAAAUUCUUGAUUUUUUCAAAAUAAACUAUAACAAAUUGACUCUAAAUUAAAUAAAUAAAAUGUUUGAAACGUUAAUUGACAAAAUUCAAUUCUUAAAAUUUAAAAACGGUAAUUGACAAAAUUCAAUUCUCUCUAAAGUUAGUAUCAGUGAGUUAAUUUGUUUUGCAUUGGUUAUGUAAAAAAGAGAAUAAACUUUGGCAUCAAUAAAAAGUUAGAUGAUGUUAUUAGCACGGUGACAUCAAAAAUGCACAACUAUUGGUCUAUAAUUACACCGUUGAUACAAAUAUUCAACGAUACCAUUGGCCAAGAUUUUGGAUGGACAACUUGUUGCUCAACUGCUGAAGUGUGAUGACCGUCGAACAUGGAAUUAUAUUGGAGUAAACGAGUUAUAGUCAUUUUAAUCUUUGAAUGUGUAAUUAGAAGUCGUUAUAGUCAUUCGAUGUAUUGAAAUUUUAUAGUAUCUGAUAAUGUACGAUGUUAGUCAAAAUAAUCAUUUAUGUUAAAAUGUUUCGUUAACAUUGUCAUAUUAGCAAGUCGAUAUACUUAGUUAUUAUCCAAAUUAAUCCUUAGUUAUUGUCAUUGCAAUUUUGUACGAAUAGAGUUAAUGUAAGUGUUGAGGGGCUAUUUCAGUGUGAAAGAUUAUUUUGACUAACGAAAUGUACAACUAAAAAUUAUUUUAAAAUUUUGAUACAAUGUGAGACUAUUGUAGCUACUUAUUACAUUUUCAUAGAUCAAAGUGACUAUUAUCUCAAUUAUAUUUUAAUUUACAUCAAACUUGAGCAAAAUUAAGGUCAUGGUUAACCUUAUUUUUUUUGUCUUAGAAAUAAAAAUCAAGCAUUCAAGUAAAAUCUUUCCAGAACUAUUUCACCGGGGAAUAACAUUUGGGUUCCCAAUUAAUGUCAUUUUUGGAGAUAUUUGUAUAAUUGUUUAUAGCAGGUUAGUGGCUAAUAAAUACUUUAAUAAACACAUUCGUUUUUUUUGGGUAAACUAAUAAACACAUACAUGAUGGAACGUGUAGCGACUCAAAUUCAAAUUCAUAAUCAAAUCAUUGAGUUGUAACAACAAGGACGAGGAUAUAUCUCUCUUAUUAUAUGAUGUAAACCCAAGAUGAAGGUUCAAGAAUAAAAAUCUUUUCCAUGAUUCAAUUCAACUUUUCCAACUUUUUUAUUUCAAGAACUAACCUAAAAACACAAAUCAAGAAAUAAAGGAGAAAUUGAAACUUAGUGAAUCAUCCUGGAAGAUGAAAUAGAGAUGAAUGAUCGCUACUUUCAUGAGGAAGAUAAGAUAAAAAAAACAAAAUCGUCACAAGUUAUAUGAAAAGCCCCUUAAAAAAAUUCACAUGAUUCACUUAAGAUUUUAGGUUUGAUUUUCUUUGAUAUCAAUUUCGAUGAACUAAUUUGAAUAUUUUUUUUAAAAAAAAACACAUGAUUCGACCAAGAAUCUUAGGAAGGAUAUUCUCUACAUCACAUGCAAGUAUCAAACCUGUAAAUUUAUCUCCUUUAAUAUAAGAAAAGAACAUGUUGUGGAAAACCUCAAUAUGCCCUUUUCCCUUUUAAUGUAAAAAUCCCAAAUUUAGGGGUAAAUAUGGUCUAUUAUUUUACAUUUCUAAUUGGAUGACAUCACUUAAGGAUAACCGAUGACAUCUAACUGAAACAUAACAGUUGGUUUACUUUAUCUGCAGAUGUAUCUAACUUGCCAUACCAUUGGAACUAAACUAAACUGAACUCAUUACUUUUUAAAGGGAAAUUUGAAAAGUACAUUUUUUGGUUCAAAUAUCCUUUUAAGAGCUAGCAAUCAAUCAACAUACUCUAUGAGCUCACUUUCAACUAUUAUCUUACUUUAACACUACUACCAAACAUUGUCAUUCACGCCCCUCUCUCAUCUUGAAUCUGGUAAACUACUCUUCUAUUUUUUUAGUUGAUUGGUUCUUCCUAAAACAAUGAUACAUGUUCCUAUCUAAAGUUUUUCUAUGACUCAUUUACUUUAUGAUCUAUUUUUUGUUAGGUUUUCUGUUUAUACUCUUUUAUAUGUAUGUUUGCCUUCCAUACUCACAUCUGCUUUUUUUACUCUAUUAUCUGUUUUCAAUUUUUUUUUCUCUUUCAAACAUAUGUUGUGUUUGUUUAAGUUUGCCAAACAUACUGACAAUCUUCUGUUUAUCAAGUAGAUCUGAAAAAUGGAAAGACCAUGCCAGUUUAUUGGUGAUGUCACAGAUAAGUCAGAUUUUUGGAAGUUAACUGUUAGAGUCAAAGACAAGUGGACUGUUGUUAAGGAUGGCAAGGAACAUCUGGAGAUGAUUAUUGUUGAUGCUAAGGUCUUAUUGUUAUCACGAUUUUGGGGUAUCAAGUCAUUAAUUAGGCUUGAACCUUUCAAUCUUUGAUAUUCUCUAUUUUUUCUUGGGAAGGGCAAAAUUGAGAAAACCCUUAGAAAUUCUAAGUUCGGGGGUCGUUUUCGUUACGGGAAGGUGUUAGGCACCCGCAAUGACUAUAGUACUCUAUAGGAGCCGUUUUCUUAGUUUUAUGUCUACGCUUUAUUUUUAAUGCUAUUUAUUAAAAAGAAGUCGAUUAUGUUAAGAAUGGAGGGAGGAAAAUGUUUGAAGUUUUAUUUUAUUGGACUUGGAGAGGUUUUAACCUCAUGCCUACAUACCCUUUUAAGGGAUCAAACUCCAUGUAGUUCUCUUUCAAAAAUGUUUUUUUGCGUGUUUCAAUUGAUUUUAAAUUUUGAAAAAAUGGUUUUGAAAAAAAAAAAGAGGCCUUAAAGGCAUGAGAGAAGAAAAUGGUUAGUGGUUGGUUCAAUUGUUAUUAAAAAGUCUAAGUUGGAAUUAGAAGUUCGUUUGAGUUUGAUUAAGAAAAUAAAAGGUAAAAUUCAAUGGAGUUUUGACUCCAAGGUUUAUUUGGAAAAAAUUUCAAGUGAUGGAAUUUGCUUAUUUUGGAAAAUUGAUAUUUUUUCCUAAGUAUCGCGUUUCCUAAGCAUACAUCUAAAGCGGUAAACAUGCAACGUGUGUGCGUGUCAGUGCUUGUGUCGGUGUACAUCAUUAAAGUCCAUUGUCCGUUACAUUGACCCUAGUUUACAUUCUAUGGUCUUGCAAGAAAUUAAAAGGAAAUUUAAACUACCUAAAAUAUUACAUGACAUUUUAACAUAGAAAUUAAAAGGUAAAAAGAAAGCCUAAACUAUGAGAAAUUGAGAUGAAAAAGGUAAGAUGCUCAUGAGAUGGAUGAAACAUGAAAUGAAAUGGUUAGUAAUAUGAGGCAUAAAAUGGUAAGAAAAAGUAAACAAUAUUGAAUAGGAUAGCAAAAAGAAAAGAGCAAUGAAGUGAAAUAAAAUGGCAAAAUAUACCUAAAAUUUGUUAUAACACUUAGACAUGCACAUGACCCAUAAUUCUCUCACCAUAGCAAUUUUUAAAGAGGUUUGAUUUUAAGCUAUACUGUGAUAAUAACAAGGACACAUUCAAGCCAAGCAUUAUAACACAUUCAUAGAGAUAUUUUACACUUUAUUUCUUGACAAAAACAUACAUUACUUGCAAAACAAGAAAAAAAUGAAAAUUCACAUCCACAAACAGUAAAACACGCAUAUGAUCAGAGACAUAUUCAUCAUGAAAUUGCAUAUUAAUCACUCAUAUCAUGCACCAAGACCAUGAACACAAUGUGACGAAAAAUUCACAAGAAAUUCCAUUAAAAAGUAAAAAAAAAACAUCAAGAACUAUCACAUACAUUUUUUUAUUAGUUUUUCAAUGUGUAAAAGCAUCACAAGAAAUACCAAAAAUGAAUUAAAAACAAUAGGAAUUCUUCUAGAAUUUUUGAGAGAAAAUUUGAGCAAGCAGGGGUUCAAAUAGCAAUACAGCAAGGUGCAAGUAGCAAAAAAUAAAAAAACGCAGAAACAAACAAACUGCAAGCCCAAGCCCAAAACCCAUAAAUCCGGAUGCACAGGGAGCGUUGGAUUGAUCCAGAGAGGGAAACCCUAGAUCCAACGGCCAGGAAUGAAGGGGAUUGGACUGGUCUUGGACCGGUCCGGUUCACUGGCCUAUAAAAACGAGCUCACGCCAGUUUUUUCAUUCUUCUAUGUUCUCUCUCUCUCUAACUCUCACCUAGUGAGAGAAGCUCUCGCCUCUCUCCUCUCUCCCUCCGCCGGUUUCUGAAAGAAACGGCCGGAGAAGAUGAAGACUGGCCGGAACCUUCAUAGGUCCGCCGGAAACUUCAUCUUCUCCGGCGAGAUCUCCAGGUUCCGGUAACCUAAAAUCUCACCAGAAAUUCAAUUUUUUUGCAUCGUUCUUCUCGUCUCUAAACCCUAAACACGAAUCUAACAUUGAUUUUCACAAUCAAGGCUUGAAACAACGUAGAUCUGAAUUUUGUGUUACGGUUUUGAAAAUUACUUUUUAGGUUUUGUAGUUUUUUGAAUGUAACCGUUCAAACUCUUAUGGAUCUACACUGUUUCAUCCUUGUUGAUACUUUUUAAGGCAGAAAGAUUCGGUUUCAGUGUUACCUGAGAUUUUGAUUGGAGACCUUGAACUGGAAUCUUUGGAAAACUUGAAUCUUGGUGCUGUUUGUUGAUUUUUGUGUGAAAACCGAAAAUAAAUCGGUGUUCUUGCUGGUUUGAUUCUUCUUUCUUCUUCACCGGUUCAGAUUCUUGUUUCUUUCCUUCUUCUUCUUCUCCCUCAAACUCUGUGAUCGGUGCUUGAGUUUCUCACCUCCGGUGAGGAAUUCGCACCCUGAAUUGCAGUGGAAUCAAUUCGAUGAUGAAGAUUCACCAAUGAAUCUCUGAGAAUUGAAAAGGAACGAUGAAUCUGUUGAUGAUUUUGAUUCUGGAAAAAAAAUUAGGGUUUUUUGACUUGUUCUUGGUGAUUUUCCGUUUUGAUCCUAACUGAAAGGAGAGAGAAAGAUCUUCUAUGUUUGUGAUGUGGCGUGUGAUCUCUGGGUUUGUGUGGCACUGUGCUCUAUUUAUAAGCUGCCAUGUGUGUUUCUGAACCAAUGAGAGAAGACCACCUGUUUUUGGACUUAGGGACCUUUCUGCAAAAAGAAAAAAAAGAAGGACUGGACAGCAAAUAAGAAAAAGGGCUAAAAAGCAAAUUUAAAAAGUUUUGGACUAAAAUGCAAUUCUGGAAAUUAUUUGAGGGACUAAAAUGCAAUUAAAAAUAAAAUGAAUUAAAAUUGGUAAUUUGACCAAAUGUAAAGUGAAACCUAAAAUAAAAUCAACAAAAGGACUAAAAUGAACCAUCUACAAAAAUGAGGUAUUUUAAAAUACCUCUCUGCCGAAAUUUUGAUGGGAAAAGACCAAAAUGCCCCUAGGGACUAAACUGACUCAAACUGACUCAGAUGCAAUUUUGAAAUGAUUUUUUUAACCAAGACUCAACAAUGAUUUAUAAAACAAGUUGAAAAGACUCAGAGACAAUCACAAGGACUAAAAUGGGUUCCAUUGCAGGAAAUGAUCAAAAAUACCCUUUUUGUAUGAUUUUUUGAAAUAAAAUGCAAGAAAAGUAAUGUGAUGUUUCAGAGAGUUUUCAAAUGACUUGUAAUGCAAGAAAAGACACUUUGAAUAGUUUUAUGCAAGAAAAUCGAGCUUGAACGUACUUUGAGACAGAGACAGUAAAAUAUGCAGAUGAAAAGAGAGUAAAGAUUCAGAGUAAAACAACAGCGAAUUGACAAAUAUCAGUGUUAGAAAAGAAAUUUGAACGAGUAUUUUUAGGUCCAAAAUCAGGGUAUAACACUUAUUAUAUAUUUCCAUUCAUGCUACUAUUUCCUUGCUUCACUAAUUUAUUCACUCUUAAUUUAUUAACAUAUAAUGGUGUGUUUGUUUCCUUCUUAGGGUAGGGACAUACAAGUUGUUAUUCCUACGACAUACAAAGCCACCUAUGACAAAAUCUUAGAAGAAAACGCUACUUACACUUUAUGCAACUUUCAAGUGGUUAGCAAUGAUUUAGUGUUCAAAGCCUCAGAACAUAAGUUUCUUUUGAAAUGGACCGGUGGGACUACUGCUGAAGACAUCAAUGUUCAUGAUGUUCCUCAAUCUGACACCAAAUUCAAGCCGUUUGCUGAAAUUAUAUCUGGAAAAUGGAAACCUGAUAUUUUAGUUAGUGAGUUCAUUGUUGUUUAUAAUAAAUUGUUAUUAUUCAUUUUAUUUUAUUUGUUUGUUUCUAAGAAUCUUGCCCUGUUUUUUUUCUUUCAAGAUGCCAUUGAAGUUGUUCAGAAAAUGGGCUUUUGUCAACUGAACCAAGGUACUGGGAAAAAACUCCAGGUCAACUUUACUAUGAAAGACCUUAGGUGAGGAAUUUUGGUUGUCAACUGACAUUUUCCCUUGAAAACUAUAAAUAUCACAGCUAUUUUAUAAACUUUACUAUGUACAUUAUAAUGGUAGUAACAUAACUACUCUCAUCAUGCAGUGACAUUUCGAUUAACUGCACUUUAUGGGAAGAAUAUGCUGCACAGUUCAUUAAAUAUAACAGUGAAAGGAAAGAAGGUGGAUCCGUGGUUGUGAUGCUGAAGUAUGCCAAGAUCAAGGAAGAAGGUUUUACCCCUACAUCUGUUAGCUAUCACCAUAUGUGUUUCCUACAUGUAGUUCUGAUAUUAUAAUACUAACUUAUAUUGUUCAAACUUAUAACAGGACGCUUCCCACUAAGUGUUUCAAAUACUUAUACUUUCACAAAGUUGUACAUCAAUGAGGACAUUCAUGAGAUUAAUCUUUCAAGGGAAGGUUUGUUAUUGCUAUCAUGACAAUUCUAUAACUAUUUUACAUGAAUGAACAAUAUAUAACUAAUUUUAUUAUGUUUGUAUUAGUUUGCCUCGAGAGGAACAAAAUCAGUCCCAAAGCCAACUUCUGUGUACCCAAUCAUAUGGAUCUUCACAACUUUCUUCGGAGGCAGACCUCCUCUCCAAAAACUUGAUUCUCCCUCUAUCUAACAUGAAGUUUUUGGUUUAUAUGGCAUGGCACAAGUAAAUAUACUUUGAUUUAGCUCAUCCAUUGUACUCUAUCAUCGUAUUAUAUAAUAUAGUGCAUCAAACUAUUCUAUAUUAUUAUAUAAUAUAGUUAAAAGUUUCAUUCACCAUAUAUAUCAUAAAUACUUAACAUAUUAUAUACUACAACAUUAUUAUCUCCAACAAAUAUUUAUCAUCAUGGAUGUUGUUCAACUAAUGAUCCAAAAAGGACCACUGGAACAUUUCUCAGCAAUAAAAUUAUCAUUCCAGAUUCCAACUUUUACUUAUAUAUAACUUAAGUUUUAUUAUAAUUGCUAAUCAUCUUUUGUCACAAGUUCCUUCUAUAUCUUAUAUACAUUCUUCAAUUUUUUAAAUGGAAGUCGACCCAAUGUUUGUUGAAAAAUUUUCAGCUGAUUUCAUAGAUAAAUGGAACAUUAUACUUGAAGAUGGAUCGACAUUGGUGCUACAGCUGAACAAAAACUACUAUAAUCCUACUUUAAUAAGUGGUUGGAGUGACAUAAAAAAUUUAUAUAGUUUUCCGAAUAACGUUGAAGUUACAUUUGCUUAUUAUGGGAUGAAUAUUUUCAAAGUCACAAUGUUCAAUGAAGUAACAUGUACAUCUCAAAUCCCUAUAUUCCAUAGUCGAAGUACAAAAGCAAAUGAAACAAAGUGUUUUGAUAUAAGAUUAUUUGGAAAUGACUUGAAGAGAAACAAUUUGGUUGGUAUCAUAUAAUUCUUCUAUAUCUACUACCAUUAUUUUAUUCAAUUAAUUAAGUUUUUCAUUUUAUUUAAUUAUGCAGCAAUUACCAAACGAUUUCGCAUCAUUCCUACAUCAAAACGUAUGUGACAGCCUAAUUCUAUGUGGAGACAAUGGAGAUAAUCAAUCUUUCAAUAUCUUUUUCAACCAUGAUGAUAAUAUAACUACAAGAUUAGGGCCUUUGUGGAACAAAUUCUGUCAAACAAAUUUAUUUCAAUCAGGAUGCAGAAUUAGAUUUAAAUUUUCAAUCAUCAAUAGUUAUUAUUGUCAUGUUUUUCGUAUUUAAUAGUUUUUAAUGUAAUUUAUUUUUCCUUCAAUUAUAUCUACUGUUGUAUUAUCUAUCAUGCUUAUUUAUAUUUUACAACUUAGUACUAUAUUCUUAUAAUAUCUAUAUAAAAUUUAGUAAAUAAUCUGGUAAUUAACAUUUAGUAAAUCACAUAUGCAUCUAAUUUUAAUUGAUAAUACUAUAAAUACACCCGUGCGUUAGCACGUGUAUUUUUACUAGUUAUCAUAAAAAACUAACUGCAAGACUGUCUAAAAAAUAUAGGCUAAAAUAUGGUUUUGAUCCCUGCAAAUAUGUCUCGUUUUGGUUUUAGUCCCUGCAAUUUUUUUUUUGUUGUUUUUGGUCCCUGCCAAAUAUUUUGUUUUUGGAAAUAGUCCCUGCAGGGACUAUUUCCAAAAACAAAAUAUUUUAGGGACUAUUUCCAAAAACAAAAUAUUUUGCAGGGACCUUUUUCAAAAUCAAAAGAUUUUGCAUGGACUAUUUCUCUAAUAAAUGGUUAAGUCAUCAUGUGACACGUGUGCAAAUUAUCACAAAAGUGGAGUCAGGGACCAAAACCAAAAUGAGACAUAUUUGCAGGGACCAAAAACAACAAAUUUUUUUUGCAGGGACUAAAACCAAAACGAGCCAUAUUUGCAGGGACCAAAACCAUAUUUUAGCCAAAAAUAUAUUUAUGUGUGCAAGCCGACUAUUGGUUUUUGUUUUCCCUCGUUUAGCUUUCCGUCAACUUUGGGAAAUUCUUCACUUCCACUCUUUUUAUUUUUUUUAGACUUAAAUAUGUAAUCCGUUACGGUAAUUUAAACGCAUUUUGAUUUUCGUUCUUGUAAAAAUAAAUAAAUUAAAACAUCCCUAUAAUUUUUUUUUUUGUUUUUAAAAAGGUCCCUGACCCCACUAUUCAGUUGAAGGGGCAUGCCGCAAAAUUAAUUUUUGUUUAUUUUUUUUAAAAUUCUAAAAAUUCAUUUUUUAAAUUAAAAAAUUGGGAAAAUAAUAUUAAAAUCCUUAAAAUAAAAUAAAAAAUUGGAAAAUAAAAACUGAAAAUUAAAUUUUUUGAUUUUUAAUUAAUUUUUUUUUUCUUCAAAAUUCUGAAAAUUCAUUUUCUUUAAAUUUAAAAAAAUAAAAAAAAACUGAAAAUUAAAUUUUCGAAAAUUCAUUUUUUUUUAAUUCUGAAAAUUAAAUUAUAUUUUCAAAAGUUAUAAAUUUUGAGAUUAUAUAAUUUUUAAUUUUAUUUUUCAAAAAUUUAUUUCUAGAUUUUAAAAACACUAUUUUCCAAUUUUUUUAUUCAUAUUUCAAAAAAAAAAUUGAAUUUUUUUUAUGAUUUUUUAAUUUUUAAUUUUUUUUCCAAGAACGAAAAUUAAAACGCGUCCAAAUUACAGGGACGGAUUGCAUAUUUAAGCUUUUUUUUCUCAUUUUUCUAUCCAUCUUUUAAGUUUAAGAGCAUUUUGGCUCUUGCACACUUCUUGUGAACUAAGAAGGGAAAGAACAAUUUUGUGUGUGUUGUGAACAAAAUUGAAUUUGUUAGUGAAGCGUCAUGGUGGACUUCCCUAUCCUAGUUAUAUUAAGAUUUAGUUUUGUAACUAGUUUUGUACCGGCUACAUUAGUGCAACCACAUCACAAUCAUUAUACAAAAAUUUCUUUGAACUAGACACCUACGGUAAAAGAUAUUCUCUCUUCGUGAGGAGUCCUCAUUAUUCAUGUGAACUCCCAACAAUCUCGUCACCAUAAGCAAAUAACCUUGAAUAUGUGGUUCCUCACUUCCCUGUUUACUCUCACUAGGAUACUAGAAAUUAACCCAAAAAGAAAUGAUGAUAGUGUGUGAAUUAGCAAUCAUGAAUUGCACAAACAGAAUUCAAUUUAGUGAGUACAAUCAACACGAAAUCUAGAACUACAAUCAUGAAAUUGAGGAAACAAUUUGUAUUUUAUUUUUUCAAACAAAUUUAUUAUUAUAACAAUUUUUGUUUUUGAGGGUUCUAACAACUUUUCUUAAAACCCGUGAUAUUUGUAAAAUGGUUUUAUAAAAAGGGAUGGAGGGUGUACUUACAGUGAGUACAAUAUCUAAAACUAGAGUUUAUAAUUGUUUAGGUCAUGCCUUGAGAAUGCUCUCAAGAGGGGUAUUUGUAGCCUUCUUUAAACUUGCAUUUCCGUGACUUAGACCCCAAGUAACUUGGGCCUUCAGUCAUGCUCGUAGCGCUUUAGAUUGUAAGGGUGCGUCUAAGGUUAUUGUGGUCUUUAUGGAAUUCCAAUAUUGACAGUCGAGAGAGAGUACUCAAGAUUCAUGUUCACUAUUUCAUAUGAUCACAACAUAUAGUCACUUAGUAUAACACAUUUCAAGGAUCACCCAUUCACGACUCAUAUAAGGAUAGAUCACAGCAUAUAGUCACUUAGUAUAACACACAUUUCAAGGAUCACCCAUUCCCGACUCAUAAGGAUAUAAUCACAUAACCACAUCUUGAUAAAUUAUAUCACACAGUCAUUCUACAUAAAUUCAUCAAGCAAUCAUGUUAUCAUAACAUCUUAACCCAAACUAGACUUCUAGGUAGGGUUGGACAGAAUAUCCGUACCCACCCGAAAAUCGGCCAAACCGGUGAAACCGUGAACAUUCGGGUCGGGCGUAUAUGAACUGCAGGUUGGUGAUUCAUGCUUUUUUGGUUUUAUACAGUUAUGAACGGUCGGAUUCGGAUUGCAAAAAUCAAUCCAUCUGUACCCAGCAACCGACCGAUUUUAUGCCAAGAAUGAUAAAAAUUAACACUUUUACAAUGUGAAAGCUGGCUUGCAUAGGGAAGACGUGUUGUCUCUCUCUCAAUUGUCUUGGAACUCUCAAAAACUAUUCAAUUUCAAGGCAUUAAUUUAUGUCUAUUUUUAAUAUUUUAUAUUUUCAAAUCACUACUUUAUGACCAUAGUCAUUGCACAUCAGCAUACACACAUCAUAUCUCCUGCUGGAACUACUAGUACACCACAAUUCCUUCGGAACGAGAGCUUUUCCUCAAUCAGCUCCACAAAUCUCAAAUAUUUCAUCUUCUAUUUCUUCCUUUAUUAUCAACACAGACAACACAAUCCUUUUCAUUUUUCACAUGUAAUAAGUUGUGAACACCCACCAACACUGUUAUUAUGUUUUUUUUUUUUUUUUUUGUAAUUUUUGUACCAGAUUUUGUUUAAUCGAAUACCGACGGAGUCCGGCCGACCACCUGCUAAAACCGUUGAACCGCCGACUGUCGAAACCGUGGGCUCAAACGGACGGAAACGGACUGUAAUAUUCACACCGUCGGUUUGAUCGGUUCCGAAUUUUGAGACCGAAAACCGCACCGAAACGAACCGCCCGUUGUCCAGGCCUACUUCUAGGCACAUAUGACCAUAUUAUUCACAUUUUUUAACUAUAAGUCACACACAACAUGUCUUCAUUCUGGGUGUCCUUAUGUUGCACCAUUCUUUUUACCGUGCCUACAAAAUUACUAAAUUUUGUUUUUCGUUCUCAUAAAAAAAUGGCAUGUUUGUGUCUAAAAAUGAGCAACAUAAGGACACUCAUAAUGAAGAAUAUAUACCUAAUUUUCAACACACGCUUUUAGUUCAUAUUAAAUUAAAAUUUGUUUAAUUAUCCUUAAACUUUGAAAUUCAUAAAUGACACUUUUGUAGACAAAUUUAAAACAUAAUAAAAACUCUACCGCAAAAGCUAGACUCGAAAUUUUUAGGGGAAUAUUUUUAUUAUUCUUAACUUGAACUUUUGAAAUUUUAAAAAAUCCAUGUUUAUUUUAACAAAUCCAAAUUUCACAACUUGACCUUAAUUCGACUCUAACAAUUUGACGAAUUUAGGGUAUGUUUGGAACUGCAGAAACAAUAAGGAAAGAAAGCAAAGAGGAAACAAAGGUUGUUGAAAAACAUUUUUUCCCUUGCAUGGUUGCAUUGUCAGAGUGGAAAGAAAGUUUAAUUAUGAUGGAGCCCACGUGUUAAAACUUUCCGCUCAAAUCAGCGAAGAAAGCUUGGCAUGGGUUCCAAAAUUGUAAAAUUACAAUACUGCUGUUAUUUGAAUAAAAAAAUUCCAAUGGCAUGUACUUUCUUUUUUCUCACCUGUGACUGUGACUUUGGUGGCAUUCAUCAUUUAUUACUAUUAUACAUAUAUACACCCAUCCAUUAACAUUUUUUCUUAUAAGUUAACGGUUAAUAAAAUAAUUCCCAUAUAAUAUUAUGCUACCGUUAAUUUAUUAUUUGUUUUUUUUAUUAAUAUAUGUUAGUACAAUAUCAAUUUUUAAUAUAAGGAUAUUUAUGUCAUUUUAAUAAACAUAGAUCUAUCUUUCCUUUAUCUUUCUUUCCUCUUUCUUUCAUACCAAACGGUCAAAUAAUCAUCUCACUUUUCAUUCACUUUCUACUCACUUUUAUUCCUUCAACUAUCUUUCCAUUUACAAUAUUUCCUUUCACUUUCUUUGAUCUUCCAAACAAACCUUUAAUAUACUAGCCUUGAAAUCAUGCAAUAUGACUUGUGAAUUAAAUAUAUAUGUUCCUCAUGUUUAAUCAAUUCAUGCUCAUAUUCAAAGUUGAUGAUAUCUCCCAACUAGUUUAAAUUUUUUCACAUUUGAUUUGACGUACAAAGUCACAAGUAUUAGUACCAAUAAUGUCCCAUGUAUUUUGGUUAAAACAAGCAGGAUAAUCAUGCGACCCUUAAGCCUUCCACAUACUUUCAAUAUUUUUUUCAAUUCAUCUGAACGUUCAAUAGUUAAAACAAAUCUCUAUCAACAUAGGUAUUGAAGAAGAUCACUAGAUAUUAUGAAUUGACCAUAUUUAUGACAAGAUCGUUGUCUUCCACCCAAAUCCCAUAAGCAUCGUCACAACCAUUUAGGUCUUAAUUUGAUAAUCCACUUUGAAGCUUCUUUUCUAAAUGAGUUAUUGUGAGUUAAUUUCUUUAAAAACGAAAACGACUUUCUACUUAAACAACGGAAACUUAAAUUAAAGGAUCAAGGCAUACCUCCAACCAUUGUUCCUGUUUGAAGAUGGUGAGGCUCUUCUCAUUAGGGAACCAACAUCUACUUCUACUUUUGCCAUCAAGAAGUUAUAGUAUAUGCAACACUUACUCCUCAUUCCAAAUGGGACAGUGGGCAGUUACUAUACUAUAAUUGAGGGAAAGAAUAAAAGACAACUUUAUGCUUAAGAGCAUCCACAUUGGUAGGGUCUUUACAAUUUAAGACACGGUACCUAAUAUGUACUCCCAUUGUGAUAAAAAAAAUUGGGGGUCUCUUAAGACCCGGGGUCUCACUUAAGACCCCAAUCUUAAGUGAACCCCACACCACUUUUCAAUAAAAUAAUCAUUAUUUGAGUUGUUUUUGUUAUCGAUGGGACCCAUUUAUAUCUUUUGAUAUAGGAUCAACAUUGGAGUGGUUGAGUACCUAUUAGGUACCAUUAUUAAAAAAUAAUAAAAAAUGAUGUGUUAAUGUGAGACCCGUUUAUGACAUCAAAUAUGAGGAUCUCCAUUGUGGAUGCUCUAAAGAUGCUUAAUGAGUAAUUGCCAUAAUGAGCCCCGAUAGUAUUGACGAAAAGAAAAUAAAUUGGGAUAACGCAUAACAAACGAUGUUGAAGUGAAGGGAUUACGUUACUAACCUGUAACAAUAAGAUUAGUAAAAUUGUUACUAACCGGUAACAAUAAAAUUAGCAAAAUUGUUACUAUCCAUUCCAUUAACAAUAGGAAUGUAGUUUUAAAGUAGUUUGUUAUGCUAAGAGUAGUAAUAGAGAGAAUAAUAAGUGUUUUGUGAAUAAAAUUUGGAGUUUGAUGCUGACCCCAAAAAGUGCAAGUACAAUUUACUUUAUCGUAUCAAUUUGUGCUUUUAUUGAGAUUUUGACACUGACUCAAAGAAUGCAAUUUACUUUUAUCGUAUCAAGCCCUUAAUGAUAAUUACCACUUGUUUAAAUAAAUAAAUAAAAAUGGGAAAAAUUCAACAAACCUAACGUGCAUUUUUCCUUCAAGCGAAUUGCAUUGAACCGAGCUUCUAAAUUCUUCUUCUGAUGAAUAAUGGACUCGAAUGUAUAAUGCUUCAAGAUCGUGAUAUUCUGGAGAGUAGCCAAGUUUUGGUUCAUAUAAGCAUUUUUAUUCUAACUCCUUUGUAUCAUUUCAUUGUAUAUGAAUUAUUCCUGAGCCAUACGCUAAUUCUAUGAUAAAUUAAAAAUGUUUUGUGAAGCUACGCUAUUUUUCUAAUUUCGGAAGAACCUAAACAAAUGCUUUUGAGUAGGGUAAUAUCCACUUCCUAUAACAAAAAGUUUUGUUAAGCCUUUCAAAAGUUAAUUCUAUCACUUCUCUCAACAAAAAAAAAAAAAACAAAAAAAAAGGUUAAUUCUAUCACAAAAAUUAUUACAUUUUAUAGUCAAAGGUGGAUCACCAACCUAUAUUUCCUAUGGGAGAUAUGAUAUCAACGAAAUUACUUGCUAGAAUUGUGACUCUCCUUGAAUUUAUCUCUAAUGCCUAUAAGAUCACUAUACUCAACAAUUAUCUUCAUUAGGACUAUAAUAGAUAGGACAUUAGGACUAAAUAAUCAAACCUCACCAUUAGUCAUCUCAAUUCUAAAAUUGAUGAAUUGUAUUUUUUUUUAUAAGGGUAGUAAUACUUGCCAUGUCAAAGCUUCCAUGCAAUUUAGUGAGAAAUUCAAACUAAAAUCCACGAACAAAAAACUACAUCACUCCCAAAUUAUACUAGUUUCUGAGAGAGUGUGAAUAAGAAGGGAAAGGAGGAAAAUAUCUGAAAGAGAAAGCCCAUAACGAAGAUUCUCUUUUAAAAAAAGCCCAUAACAAAUGCAGUUAACCCUGGUAAUAUUCUGACACAACAGUAACCGCAGUUAACACCUCGGAAAAAGGAUCAAAAAUAUCUUCGUGCAUCAUUUACAAUCUUAACCCCACCAAUUAACCCAUUCCCAUCUAUAUAUAACUCCACCUUCUUCAGUACAAAAUCACAAAAUAUCUUAUCUUCUAAUCUUUUUACUGUAAAAUCUAGGGUUUUAGUUUUUUCCAUCAAUGGCUUCUGCAGAUGUUGAAUACCGUUGCUUCGUCGGAGGUCUUGCAUGGGCCACCGAUAGCGAAGCUCUCGAGAAAGCCUUCUCUCAAUAUGGAGAAAUCAUCGAUUCGAAGGUCUGUUUGUUGCUUACAGGCUUCGGAUCGGAUCUGACACGAUUUUGAUUCGGAUUUCUCAUGAAACCUUUCUGAUCUGUGAUCUCCGAUCUGUUCUGUUCUGUUCUGUGUUACUUGAUCUCUAUUAUUCUGUUACUGUUACUGGGAUUGAUUCUGUUACUAUAUGAUAUAUUGUUACUCACCUUAAUAGGUACGUUCAUCUUCAUCUUUUAACCAAAAGAAGAAGAUCGAUCGGUUACUAUAUGGUUUUUUGUUUUUUUUACUGUGUUAAAAGUUUUAGAUCUGAUUUUGUGUUUUUUAUUUUUGUGCAGAUUAUCAAUGAUCGUGAAACUGGAAGAUCCAGAGGUUUUGGAUUUGUGACAUUUGCUGAUGAGAAAUCGAUGAGAGAUGCUAUUGAAGGGAUGAACGGUCAGGAUAUGGAUGGAAGGAACAUUACUGUUAAUGAGGCUCAGAGCCGUGGUAGUGGUGGUGGAGGAGGCCGUGGUGGCGGUGGAUACGGUGGUGGUGGUGGUGGAUAUGGCGGUGGUGGUCGCCGUGAGGGUGGUUACAACAGAAGCAGUGGUGGUGGAGGUGGUUAUGGAGGAGGAGGUGGUGGUGGUUAUGGUGGUGGUAGGGACCGUGGUUAUGGUGAU